AACGAACGCUGGCGGCAUGCCUAACACAUGCAAGUCGAACGAGACCUUCGGGUCUAGUGGCGCACGGGUGCGUAACGCGUGGGAAUCUGCCCUUGGGUUCGGGAUAACAGUUGGAAACGACUGCUAAUACCGGAUGAUGACUUCGGUCCAAAGAUUUAUCGCCCAGGGAUGAGCCCGCGUCGGAUUAGCUAGUUGGUGAGGUAAGAGCUCACCAAGGCGACGAUCCGUAGCUGGUCUGAGAGGAUGAUCAGCCACACUGGGACUGAGACACGGCCCAGACUCCUACGGGAGGCAGCAGUGGGGAAUAUUGGACAAUGGGCGAAAGCCUGAUCCAGCAAUGCCGCGUGAGUGAUGAAGGCCUUAGGGUUGUAAAGCUCUUUUACCCGGGAUGAUAAUGACAGGACCGGGAGAAUAAGCCCCGGCUAACUCCGU
rnacentral:rRNA from 1 species